UAAGGAGAGAAAGCAAACAGACACCAAAAAUGCAAAUAGCAAAUGUGAUAUUAUUACUGAUGUUUGGAUUAUCAGGCAAAAAAAGAAAUGAAACCUCCAAGAAUGUGAAACAAAUAAAAACAAAAAACAAAAUUUGUUUCCAAAUAGGCCUAUUACACUUUCGGCCAGGUACCAUGGGAGGUUAUGCCUUGGGGCCUGAGUAGGCGAGUAAGUACUUCCUGUCUACUGGACACAGGUCUCGGAAUAAUAUUUGUGAAGACGAUAGGCUGUACGUUGACUGUGGUCUUCCCAGUAUUCAGAAAAAGUGCAAAUAUUAUUUCUGUAACUACUACUAAAUAAGUGAGUUAUUUUUCUCUUUUAGUGCCCUUAUUUAAUUGGUCAUUAGGUAGAGCUAUCGCUGGAUCCUGAAUAUCUUUUCGAGCUGACCUUGCCUCUUUGUCCACAGCCACUGUGUUCAGGCCUCGCAGUUGCCUACCUGGAGGCAGAGAACACCAAGGUUGGGGGGGGCACCAAGGACUGAGGCUGACAGUGGCCGCCACUGAAGUUGGCAGGAUCACGUGGAAUUAAUUAGGAAGGAGGCUACUCUCAACCCUGACUUCAUGUCACAAUCACAGGCACAGCCCAGCCCCAUCCCAGAGAUACUCGCUCGGUUUGUCUGCGGGGUGGGGGUGGGGGGCGACGCAUGUUUUUAGAAGUGCCCGAGGCCCAGGCGAUUUUAAUGCACUGCCCGAGCUCACAACUACUGGACUGUGGUUCUUCAAGAGUGGUGCCCGGUCCAGAUACAACAGCAUCACUGGGGAAGCUGUGUGACUCGCAAAGUCUGGACAGCUCUACCCAAAUCUACUGAAUCAAACUAGGGGGUGAGGCCCGGCCAUCCGCCUCGUAACAAGCUCCCAGGGCAUUCUGAUGUGGCCAGCAGUGACAAAACAGAUACAGACGCAGCAGCCUGGGAGACAGGACCGAAAGAAUGUGUCCUCAUCUGUGAAACAGGCUCCUGAUAAAGUCUCCUUCUUCUGGGGGCUGUGAGGAUUAAAUCAGACCAUCUAUGCCAAGCACUUGAAGGCUUCUGGAACCUAGUACUUUCCGUUAGCUCGUGUUAGUGUUAUUUCCUUUCCUGCUUUAACUGGAAAGGGUGUCUGCCUCUUCUGCAAAAGAAGAUUCCAUCCUGCAGCCCCCACGGCCACAGUGACUUGUAUGAGGACGGGUGACCCAGCUCGUGUAAUCACAGUGAACCUCAGGACUUCUGCUUGGAACACAGCAACAAGAGCUCCUCUAUCUUUUGAACAGUUAUCAGACUCAUCUGGGCCGUGGACUGGCUGUGGCUUUUUUACUGCACUGAGAACCCAGCUUGGGGAUGAAGUUAUCACAAAAAUGAUGGCACAAAUAAGCUGAGAAAAGGAGCCAGAACUCUAGGAACAUGAUGACUGUCGAGAACAAACUAUGCCUGUAGGCUCUCUACCACUGAGCUCAGUUCUGCGGGCCCAUUUGUUGGGUUAUCUAUUCCUUGCAAGCAAAGGACCCUUAUGAACGCAGGAAACACACAUAAGAUUGCCUAUUAUUUUGUCAACCAAUAACAUAAAAAUCAAAGCGAGGCCUCUCAGAUCAA